rnacentral:rRNA from 1 species
GAUUGACGCUGGCGGCGUGCCUAACACAUGCAAGUCGAGCGGCAGCGAGUUUUACACUGAAUUCUGGAAGCUUCUAGUUGAAAGAGAAGAUUUAUUCAAGAAUUUUGUGUAAAAUGUCGGCGAGCGGCGGACGGCCGAGUAACGCGUGGGAACGUACCCCAAAGUGAGGGAUAACGCAUCGAAAGGUGUGCUAAUACCGCAUAUGGUCUUCGGAUUAAAGCCUUCGGGCGCUUUGGGAACGGCCUGCGUAAGAUUAGAUAGUUGGUGGGGUAAUGGCCUACCAAGUCGACGAUCUUUAACUGGUUUGAGAGGAUGAUCAGUCAGACUGGAACUGAGACACGGUCCAGACUCCUACGGGAGGCAGCAGUGAGGAAUCUUCCACAGUGGGCGAAAGCCUGAUGGAGCAACGCCGCGUGCAGGAUGAAGGCCUUCGGGUUGUAAACUGCUUUUAUAAGUGAGGAUUAUGACAGUAACUUAUGAAUAAGGAUCGGCUAACUACGUGCCAGCAGCCGCGGUCAUACGUAGGAUCCGAGCGUUAUCCGGAGUGACUGGGCGUAAAGAGUUGCGUAGGUGGUUCAAUAAGCGAAUAGUGAAAGCUGGUGGCUCAGCCAUUCAGAUUAUUAUUCGAACUGUUGAACUCGAGAGCAGAAGAGGUAGCUGGAAUUUCUAGUGUAGGAGUGAAAUCCGUAGAUAUUAGAAGGAACACCGAUGGCGUAGGCAGGCUACUGGGCUGUUUCUGACACUGAGGCACGAAAGCGUGGGGAGCGAACCGGAUUAGAUACCCGGGUAGUCCACGCCGUAAACGAUGGAUACUAGCUGUUUGGGGUAUCGACCCCCUGAGUAGCGAAGCUAACGCGUUAAGUAUCCCGCCUGUGGAGUACGAUCGCAAGAUUAAAACAUAAAGGAAUUGACGGGGACCCGCACAAGCGGUGGAUCAUGUUCUUUAAUUCGAUGAUAACCGAUAAACCUUACCAGGUCUUGACAUCCUUGGAAUCUUUCAGAAAUGAGAGAGUGCUUUUUAAGAGCCAAGUGACAGGUGAUGCAUGGCCGUCGUCAGCUCGUGUCGUGAGAUGUUUGGUUAAGUCCAUCAACGAGCGCAACCCUUGUCAGUAGUUGUAUUUUUCUACUGAGACUGCCCCGGUAACGGGGAGGAAGGAGGGGAUGACGUCAGGUCAGUAUUUCCCUUACGUCCUGGGCUAGAAACGUGAUACAAUGGCUAGUACAAUGCGCAGCGAAGCCGCGAGGUGAAGCAAAUCGCAUCAAAGCUAGUCCCAGUUCGGAUUGUAGGCUGAAACUCGCCUGCAUGAAGUCGGAAUCGCUAGUAAUCGCAGAUCAGCAUGCUGCGGUGAAUACGUUCCCGGGUCU